rnacentral:rRNA from 1 species
AACGAACGCUGGCGGCGUGCCUAAUACAUGCAAGUCGAACGCAGGGGGGACGAGUGAGUAACACGUGGGUAACCUCCCAUCAGAGGGGAUAAAACUUGGAAACAGGUGCUAAACCGAUACUGAUGGAGGAACCCGCGGUGCAUUAGCUAGUUGGUGGGGUAACGGCUCACCAAGGCCACGCUGCAUAGCCGACCUUGUAGGGUGAUCGGCCACACGAGGACUGGGAUACGGCCCAGAUGCCUACGUGAGGCAGCAGUAGGGAAUCUUCGGCAAUGGACGAAAGUCUGAACGAGCAACGCCGCGUGAGUGAAGAAGGUUUUCGGAUCGUAAAACUCUGUUGUUAGAGAGGCGGUAUCUAACCAGAAAGCCACGGCUAACUACGUGCCAGCAGCCGCGGUAAUAC